UUUUAGCCCUGAUGGAAGUGGAAAUCCUUGCCUUUUUUUGGCAAGAUUGCAACGUACAGCAGGAAUACUG
rfam:Flavobacterium psychrophilum JIP02/86 complete genome